rnacentral:lncRNA from 1 species
UAGGCUUGUAAGAAAUCUGAUUGUGAUUAAAGAUCUAACUAAUUUUGUGAUAAAAAAUAAAUAAAUCAACUAACAGAUGAUCGCUAAAUCUAAAUAAAUACUUAAUUGAUCCAGAAGCGUGCGAGGCACUAGCGUAAGACGUAUUCCCUUCCUUAUGUACAGGAUUAACCGGAAAUAACACUCCAAGGUACGAUCAGAAUUCCUCCUCCUGCGAGCACGAUCGUGAAGGAGAUUAACGGAGACUCUUUCAAUAUCCGAUGACAAAUAGAUCAAAGCCAAAUAGAUCAAAA